rnacentral:lncRNA from 1 species
AAAGAUCGAAAGCAUACUUUUCAUCAAAAACAUGCCCGCCUAAGCCCCAUGAUCGCCGUCCAAGAUAGGGGCAUCAACAGCAGUUACAGAGGCGAUAUCAGCGGUGACAGCUAGGUUGCUAGUGGCCAUGUUGGCGAGGAUGGAGCCCAAGGACAGGGCUUGGGAGGAAGCCGGUGGCAGCGUCGAAAGCGACACGGUGGACAUUGACAAGAUAUAUAGCCGACGAUGAGAAAGAUGAUUUCACUGGCGCGAGCGAUGAUGAGGGGAGAGC